AUACUACUCCCUCCGUCCCAAAAAUUUUGUCUUAGAUUUAUCUACAUAUAAAUAUAUCUAGUCACGUUUCAUUAUUUUAAUACAUGUAUUUCUAGACAAACCUAAGACAAGAAUUUUGGGACGAAGGGAGUAUCAG
rnacentral:pre_miRNA from 1 species